AGGAGUGGCUCUCCCGUCACGUUGGUCGCGGGCUCAAUCCCAGGCAGCCGGUGAAUACCCUCACCUUGUCUUGAUUAAUUUCUCGGGUGUUUUGAUACACGCAGAGGACGUGUAGGAAAAUAGAAAAGAGAAAAAGAGAAUCCCGGGGCAUGACACAAGAUGUAGGCAAUUAUAUCUUGCAUUUUUCACAGGAGCUGCCGCAGAUACAAAACCCUAGCCACUCUACAAAGCCUGUCUUGAGAGAAAUUUCAAGUCUCCUGUGACAUCAGGAUCAAGAAGAUCCAGUGUUAUGACAGGCUGCAGCGCUGAUCUUUAAGAGAACUUUUGAGGAGCGUUUCGCGAGAAAUGUCCCAGCGAGAAUUGGCAGGCGUGUCCGUCAUCAUCCCAGUCCACAAUGGUGCCACGUGGCUUGAUGACUGCCUGGCGUCUGUGCUGCGGCAGGAGUACAGUGCCAACACCCAGUGCCCAGCCCUAGAGGUGUCUGUGUUUCUGGACUCAUGCACUGAUGCGUCAGAAGCUGUAGUGGACCGGUGGAGUGCUGUCCUGAGGAAUGCUGGAUGCUGCGUUACCGUGAAGACAGAACACAAUGAUAAGCCGAGAGGAGUCGGGUACGCCAAGAACAGAGCCGUGGAGCAGAGUCAAGGGGAGUUCCUGUGUUUUCUUGAUGCUGAUGACAUAAUGCUGCCCACAAGGAUACAACAGCAGUAUGAGCUGGCCAGCAAGCACCACGACGCUAUUGUCGGGAGCCGUUUCUUCCGCCAGCCAGCGGACUCGACGGCUCGGUACACACGCUGGGCCAACACCCUGACGCCGCUGCAGCUGGAGACACAGAUAUACAUGUCGCACGGACCCACUGUCAUCAUGCCCACCUGGUUCUGUCACCGCUCUGUGUUUGACAGGGUGGGAGGGUUCAGCGAGGAGGGUGCAGGAACCCCAGAGGACCUAAUAUUUUUCUUCCAUCACUUGCGUUUGGGUGGACGAGUGUUGAGGCACGAUGACGAGCUCCUCAUUUACCGCUACCACCCACACGCCACAACCUUCUCCGUCAGUGAGGAGACCAUCUGGGACCUGAGGAUAAGAGAGAUAGAGGAACGAGUUUUGUCUUCCUGGGACGGAUUCACAAUUUGGAAUGCCGGAAAACAGGGACGACGAUUUUACAGGUCGCUGAGCAAGGAGUCACAGAGGAAAGUUAUAGCAUUCUGUGACGUUGAUGCCAAGAAAGUUGGCUCCGUUUACACUUAUGAGGAGUCUGCUGAACGCCCCAAACCAAGAGUACCCAUUGUGCACUUCACAAAGGCUCGGCCACCACUUAUCAUAUGCAUGAAAAUGGAGCUGACAGGAGGGAAAUUCGAGGAAAACUUGGCAUCUUUAUUUCUCCAGGAGGCCACAGACUACCACCUUUUUAACUGAACCACCACAGUAGGAUUAUAGGAAUAGCAAAGUAAGACCCAACUUAACAUUUUUCAUUUGAGGCAUCCAGAACCAUCAAUAUCAUCUUCAGCCAUUACCUGUCCCAAUGUUCCCAAUGUUCUUCACCUCUCUGACUGAAGAUGUGCACUCCAUCCUGCUUCUUGUAGGUCAUUAAGAGUAAACUUAUUAGAUGGUAGUUCUUUAAAUCUUCCAUGUUGCCUUUUAUUUGUGAAUUAACAAUGGCAUUCUUCCAGACUAGAUGAAAGAGUAGCUAGUUUACAUGUGUGGCAAGGACAUUGAUUGAUAUCCUGAAAAUUUUCACAUACCUUAGUAACAAUGCUCAACAAAUGUGGGUCUCAUGAAGAUGUUUUAUUGCAGAUUGGAUUGGCCUUCGGUGUUAUGGACUCGCUUGGCAUGAGUAUAUUGCGUUGUUGAUACCUGUGCAAAAGGACAAAGAUUCCGAUCGUCACCUAUGCUCCCUGUCUUAAUAACUGUAUCAAGUCAGCAAUUACUCUGCGAUGUAAAAUCGUGUCCUGCAUAGUCUAUGAGCGCCAACUCCGGCUAUACGGGCGUGUGGCACACUACCCAGAAGUCGACCCUGCUCACCAAGUUCUUUAUAAGUAACAUGCUCCUGGGUUGACACAGCAUAUGGCAGCAUGAGGUGUUGUGGAGGGGUGAGUGGGGUGCAACACCUGCUUGUUGAGCCCCAUGAGGUCCACAGUUAUCCUCACACCUCCACUGGGCUAGGCCACAGCCAUGAGGGGGUGGCACAACUGGGACAGGUUGUUGCCAAAGGACAGUGAUACAUGGCGCAGUGAGUAUGUGCACAUUAUAAGGAUCUUCCAGUGACAUUACAGAGCCAUUGCAGUGCUGGUGGUGUGCAGUGAGUUCCCCGAGUGAACCCCCAGUGUGUCGGCACCGUGACGAAGCCCAAAACCUGGAGGGAAGAACAGGAGUCGGUGUCCCCCAUGCCUGCUUACCCCCAGCCAUGCCCUCACAAACGGUACAGUGGCAGGCAGUUGGCAGUUCCUGGGAUGUACUACUCCAGAUGGUGCAACUGUUUUGUAAUGAGUGAGAACAGAGGAAGCGGGAGGAUGACUUGAGAUGCCAUGCUGUGGAAAAGCAUUUCAACUGACAUAGUGGCACUUAGAACACAGCUGUCACAGGCACAGCAGGUGGACACGCCUGAGGACAGUGGUGAUCCUGCCCUCGUGUCACUGUCCUCAUCCUGUGCGCUCUCUCAGGAAGCCACAAUGCUGUCCUUUAACUCACAAGCUAAGGAUAUGGAGGAUUUCUAGGCCACUGCUGAACACCUGAAAUGGGCCAAGAUGUUUUGGCAAUUUUUGACAAAGGUAUUAUUGAAAGAGAUACCUGUCAACCUUUGCUGAGGUUAGGUGAGACAGCAGCACCUCCUUGAUCCCUCUCCUCCCCAUCUUUCUUCCUCUCCUUAUCCUUUUCCUACUCCACCCUCCUCGUGUGUGUGUGUGUGUGUGUGUGUGUUUUUUUUAGAGAGAGAGAGGUUAAAAUGACUUCUCUGUGCGGCUGAAGCAGGCUUCAGACGAGAUUGACUUACAUAAAGCCCACAACCUGGCGUGUAUUGAGACAGAUGAAACAUGCAGUGCUGAUUAGCAUCAAAGACGAGACAACACUUGUUGGAACUUACAUCUGACGCCAUACUGGAGAAAGUCUUAACCGUGUGCAAGUUUCACAAGGCUGCCAAAACUAUAUCACAUGAACUUAGGCCACUCCAGUUUUCCACACGUGCCAUGUUGGAGUACAAGAGGAGGAAAAAGGACAGCGGGAAACAAGAUUGAGACGCACCCAGCCACUCGGGCAAGUCGACGCCGUCCAAUGCUAAAUGCAACAACUGUGGCUAUGGGUCACACCCCAAGGACAACUGCCUAGUGGUUGAUGAGCAGUGCUGCACAUGUGGCAAGGUGGGCCACUUUGCCAGGUGUUGCCAUUCAAAGCUGCCCACAAGUGUCAAGAAGGCACCAAGUGGUCGUGGCAGGCAAGGCAAUGUUGCUGUCCAUAACAGACUACCAGUGCAGUGUCGUUCCACCCUCAUGCAGCGCUGUAUACCCUGAACACAAAAGCGCGGUGGAUGCAGCUUCACUCAGUGGCCCCACAUCCCCAACCAUCAAGCCUCGGGUGCAGGCAGGUGACAAAUUGGGGUGGGUGGAGUGCAUGCAUGACACGGGAGUAGAUACAGCUGUCAUGGGCAACAAGUUCCUCAGUGCACUUGCCUGACAUCAGAUGACCCUUCCUGGAGUUGAGGCUAAACAACCUUGAUGGAUUGUUGAUGGCCGUCUCCUUAGGACAUGGAGCUAGGUGAGGAGGCUGCAUGCACAUGAGAGGCAUGGUGAUUAAUUGUGGUGCUGCCCUUGAUGUAUCACCUACAGGAGGCCUGGUGCUGGACAGGAUAUGCACUGCAGGCUGAGAGGACGCCGUGUACAUCAGACUACUAUAGGGCGUAACCCAUGGCUUCCCCACCACCUGUGACGGCCUAGACUCUACCCUGAUGCUUUACUGGAAGGAACGUGACCACUUGUUCCAUGAUGGGGAGCUUGUGCUACUUGGACCCCGUACUGUGGCUCUCUCCGCCCUCCAACGUGAUGUCUUGGCGUACCUUCAUGGCAGUCAUUAUGAUGUGGAGGCCACAAAGCACCGUGUGUGCCAGAUUAUGUGGUGGCCUGGUAUUAACUCUGACAUCAUGAAUGUAGUAAGGGCAUGCCAGGUGUUCCAACCAAGCCAGCAACAAGAACCCCUAAUGUCUGAGGAAGUCCCCUCUAUGCUGUUCGAGUGUGUCUCCAGAUUUCUUUAGUGCGGCAGGGAAGUCUUUCCUGGUGUACGCAGACAGACUUUCAGGAUGGCCUAUGGUGGUUCUGUGCUGGUCUGACACCACUGGUUCUGCUACCAUCGCCUUCUUCAGGAGAUUCUCUUGAGACUUGGGUGUCCCCAUGCAACUUCAGACUGAUAGGGCCUGCAGUUCACCAGUCGUGACGUUCAAGAUUUCCUGCAUCGCUGGGGUGUACAUCACAAGGUCUCCACGCCGCAUUAUCCUCAGAGCAACAGCCACACAGAAGCAGUGGUGUUGUCACUGUAGCAGCUGGUGAUGAAAAAAGCUCCUGGCACCACCGAGGACUUCGAUCACUGCUUGCUGGAAUUACGCAACACACAGCGACUGGACGGCCGUUCCCCAGCUCAGGUAUUAUUCACACUGCCACCAGCUAACACUUGUACAGUCACCCCCAGUAAAGCACAAAGGACU